AAAAAAAAAGCUUAACUCUUUUUUCUUUGUAGAAAAAAAAUUCCUUUACUGUGCUAUAAUAAAUAGAACAAGAAGGAAUUUAAGGUGUCCUUUGUUUCUGGCGGGGUUUCUUGACUCUCAUGCAAGAACAAGACCCAAUUUGAUUAGAUUGAAAUUUACUGAAAGGAAGAUGUGAUGUUGAUAAUUAAGAAAUUAUAUGGUGCUUGAGGGAAGAUGGAUACUUAAUUGGAGUCUUGACCACAGAGAAUUUCAAAAGUGAAAAAACUUCUACAAAUGUCCCCCUAUGUGAGAUAUUAUUGCUACCAAACGACCCAUGUUCAAGUGUAAAUGGCAACAGGAAGAACAUAUGCACAAUUAUGGGCACCUAUUGGCCAUUUUGUGUUCCUCGUGCUUAUGAACCAGGGAUUUCUAAUUUGCAGCAACUCUGAUUUGUAAAUUCAUUUCAUUCUAUUUUAUUCAUUCCUACUUCUAGUAGCACUGGAGGAUAUUGCUGAAAUAUUAUGUCUUAAUAUUUUAGUGUGUAUGAAAUUUUUAUUUGAUAAUUUGAAAGAUUCAAAUUAUCAAAUGAGGAAUAAAGCAAUUAAUGAUGUUGGGCGCUUUGAUAGUGUUGAAUCACCAGUAUUGGUUUGCAAUGAUGAGUUCAUUUGUAAACUUAAUAAGCAUUGGAGAGAUGAGGAUAAACCUACUGAUUCCCUUUAAUAUCUUAACAUAUACCUGAACUUGAGCUUUCAGUUGUAAGAAAAUGCUUCAAUAUUUGCAUGUCACACCUCAUUUAACAUAGAUGACUAAGACCCUGUCCAACUAUUAAUAUUGGGAGACAUUGUGAUUUCAGGGGAGACAACAUCAAGGCAAGCAGAGGAAAUGGGUCAUAGUUUACUGGACAAGAUGCCCAUCUUAUCAAUAAGUUUUUGACAUACUUCUGAACAAUCUUUGUAUGCUGAUUUAAAUCCAAGUUGUCUUAUAGUUAUGACCCAUUCCUAUGCCUAAUUUAUGGCGCAAUCUGUUGUCAUGUCUGAAUAUUGUCCCCUUAAAAGAAAAGUUGAUACUCACUCUAAAUGUCAAUAUAUUUUUCACGACAAAUACCCUUGAUUUUAUAUUAAGUAGUCCAUCAAUUGGUGUUCAUUAAAUAUGGACAUGCAUCAUUUCUUUCGCUCUUUUAUUUUGGUUGUUUGUUUAAUAUGAAGUUGCUUUUAUGUAGUCAUGUGGUUAUAGAUUUAAAGCCUUUUAGGUUUUCAUGGUCCUGAAGUAGGAAGGACGUUAAUAUAGUUUGACCCGA